rnacentral:rRNA from 1 species
CCUACGGGCGGCAGCAGUGGGGAAUAUUGGACAAUGGGGGGAACCCUGAUCCAGCGACGCCGCGUGAGUGAAGAAGUAUUUCGGUAUGUAAAGCUCUAUCAGCAAGGAAGAAAGAAAUGACGGUACAUGACUAAGAAGCCCCGGCUAACUACGUGCCAGAAGCCGCGGUAAUACGUAGGGGGCAAGCGUUAUCCGGAUUUACUGGGGGUAAAGGGAGCGUAGACGGUUACGCAAGUCUGGAGUGAAAGGCGGGGGCCCAACCCCCGGACUGCUUUGGAAACUGGAUAACUGGAGUGCAGGAGAGGUAAGUGGAAUUCCUAGUGUAGCGGUGAAAUGCGUAGAUAUUAGGAGGAACACCAGUGGCGAAGGCGGCUUACUGGACUGUAACUGACGUUGAGGCUCGAAAGCGUGGGGAGCAAACAGGAUUAGAUACCCCGGUAGUC